rnacentral:rRNA from 1 species
GAUGAACGCUAGCGGCAGGCCUAACACAUGCAAGUCGAGGGAGGAGCCUUCGGGCUUCGACCGGCGUACGGGUGCGUAACGCGUAUACAAUCUGCCUUUCACAUAGGGAUAGCCCGAAGAAAUUUGGAUUAAUGCCUAAUGGUAUAUAGAUGUGGCAUCACCUUUAUAUUAAAGCUGAGGCGGUGAAAGAUGAGUAUGCGUUCUAUUAGCUAGUUGGAGAGGUAACGGCUCCCCAAGGCGACGAUAGAUAGGGGUUCUGAGAGGGAUAUCCCCCACACUGGUACUGAGAUACGGACCAGACUCCUACGGGAGGCAGCAGUGAGGAAUAUUGGACAAUGGUCGGAAGACUGAUCCAGCCAUGCCGCGUGCAGGAAGACGGCCUUAUGGGUGGUAAACUGCUUUUGCAGGGGAAGAAUAAGGACUACGCGUAGUUUGAUGACGGUACUCUGCGAAUAAGCAUCGGCUAACUCCGUG